rnacentral:lncRNA from 1 species
UUAGCAAUUUGAAAAUAGUUUCACUUGAGUUUGUUUGUCUGUGUCUUGCUUUCUACAUAUACCUGUACUUGAAGUAGAUGAUUAGAAGACACAAAUUAGCUUUUGCUAGUGACCAUUUUUAGAAAAAUUAUAAGUACAAUAUUCGUAAAGAAAAGAAGACGCCUUUAUUUGUCCUCCAUGAUCUCAAGAAAUAAGAUGGACAAUUCACAUGGUCCUCAAUAAAUGGGUAUUAAACCCAUUUUUGAGCUACCCAAAAAUACUGUUCUUAAGCAUUAUAUGCUCUGGCAUCCCGACUUGCUUGGAGAUUUUUUGAAAGAAAUGCUCAUUUUAAAUAUCGAUCCCUGCAUCCACAGAAAAAUGAUUAGUUUGAAUAAAACUACUCUGUGUCGACCUUCUUCAAUCCUUGAUUUGCUCUGCACCAUCUUUUAGGUGCCCUGUCACAUUGGUACCUCCACCCUGGGUCCCUGAUCUUAUAUACGCCCAGACAAUCACUAAGUAAAAGAUUUGUAAAGUUUUUUUUUUCAAAAGUAUUUUUAUUUUUAGCAAAUAGUUUCGAAAGUAUCUGUAAAAACUUUAGAAAAUUUCUGCCAGUCAUGUCAUGUACUAGCUUAACGAAUGUCUUCCUCGUAGUUUUGACUAUAUCCGAUGGAUGAUUUCCAAAAAUCAUAAUCAUUGUUGGAGGGUUCUUCAAAUAGUUCCAUCAUAGCCAUAAAUUGAGUCUUCCUAGACUUUGUCACAGUUGUGGUUUCAAAAGCUUGGCUUUAACCUCUGGUGCCGGGGAAUUUGAAAUAUACUCUAGUAUUUGGUAGAAAUUUUGAGGCCCCCCUCAAACUUUAUACCCCAGUUUAAAGUAGUUUGAGAUGAUAUCAUCUGUAGUGGAUUUGAAGUCUUUGCUAAUCUUCAUUCUCUUUGUUGGAUGUUGAUCUUCUCUUGUGAAUUUUCGAGAUUCCUUCUCAAAAAUUCUUCUUCAGUUUUCAUUUUCUGGGGUUAUAUGACCGAGCUUUUGGAGUGCCUACAUAUCUAGUUGAAGCAGGAAUUAGGUCAAACAUAGUUCAAGACUAUCCUAAGGAUAUAUAGAAAAAUUUAAUGGGUCGACCGAAGCCGACAUAGGCCGCCUACGUAUCCCUCUUUGGGAAUUCAGGUCAAAUGUAGUUUGUACAUAAACUCAUAAUGGCCCUAAAAAUACUCUUAUCCAUCUUACAAGGAUAUAAGUAAGUACUUCUAUAGAUGACAUGAUGUUUUCAUUACGUUUGUCUUGAUAGAACAAAAGAUUAAAUGUCCAAUGGAGUCAUCGCCUUCCUAGUUAACUACCUCGGUUUCCUCUAGAUUAGGCUUUUUUGAUUCUCAAACUCUUUCACUCUUAUAUUGACUGUUCUAGGGCUAUCGUUAUCUUGAUUCUUGACAUGACAUGACAAUGGCAGGUUUCAAGUUACUGUUAUACGACGAGCGAUGAGUCAUGAGUGGAGUGGAGGUCCAAUUCAAUAAUGUUUCUUCCAAUUAAUCUUCUAUGAUCCCGGUUGUCUUAGAAAAUUCUUCCCUCAUAUUUUCCUUAUUCCAUCCUCGAGACCAUUGCUUACAGGUUUGAAAAAUGAUUGGUAGAGUCCAGUUUUUUUACUAGUCAUUUUUCUUUUCCUGUAACAAAGCUAUAGUAAAGAAGGAGAUCUCUUAUUCAUUUUGAUCUAGUGAAGUAGGGCCAUUUUGUGCCAACACAGAGUAGUUUCUAUUACCUGCAAAGUAAAAACAACUCAAAGGCUGACGUGUUAGAUUCCAUUAGUAAUAAGCAAAGCAAAAUGAUAAGGUAGGAAGUAAACACAUAGAGUUGUUUCUCAUCUCAUGCGAAUUGAUCCAUGAAGUAAUGUUGACUCGAGGAUUUCAAUGAACAAGAUUUUGGUCAAUGAUAUGGAUAGGUGGAAUUUAUCGGGAAGUUUCAACUCUUCUUCUUCCUUCAAGAAAGUGGAGGAUAACAGAGCUUUUGGAGGUAUGGGCCGGGCCGAAAGGCUGCCUAUGUAUCUCACGGAGGAGAAAUCAGGCCCUACGUAGUUCGAAACUAUAAUGACUUUUUCUGAUUCUAAAGUCAACUUUCCUAAUGGUAGCGAUCAUUUUGGAAGUUUUAAGAAUGACUACGGACUUUUCUGAGAAACUUGGGAGACUUGGAGUACUUUUGGUCGGACUUUUGUAUAGUGAGGUAUAUUUCUUCCUAGAGAUGUUCUAUCAAAAAUGGGAUUGUAUCAUCUCGCCUUUGAUUCGAAUCAACAUAACACGUAUAAGCACAUAAACAGUUAUAUUACACAAGCAUAUUAUAAUAAACGUGCAUCCAAAUUAGGUGACCUGUUUGAGCCAAUGGUUUAGGCCUAACGAAUUUUGAAGAAAAUAUACGCCUUUUUAAAGCUAAUCCAUUAUCCCCAAAAACCUUCAUAGGUAUACCUAAAUGACAUAAAUGUCUACAAAAGUUGCACAAAAGGGAUACAAUCUUUAGAGAAAGGGAAUAAUGUCCCACGCAGGGGAUACUAAUUACUACAUGCUUCUUCUGCGCUCUUAGCUAUGUCCAUUUCUUAUAUUGGUGACAUCCAUUGACGUUCAAACUGUGCCUUAGAUGCAACCUCCCAAAUCGAUCAAAUUCUUGCUUAACUUGCUUCAUCUUUUUUCUUAUGAAAGUAAGCAAAUCAAGUUUUUUCCCGACCCUCAAAGGACAAUGGAUUGAAUUAGACAAGCAUACAUUUUCUUCAAUACAUAAAUAAGGUUCAUCUAUAAUUAACUCGGGGUCAAUAGACACAGGACAGGGUUUCUAAUGGGCCCAAUACCCCGCUCGAGUAUUGGGUCGUCCUAGGCUCAUGUCUAAGAUAGGGUUUUGGUUUAGUUCUAUCCUAGGUGUCUAGAGUGUGUUUGAACACUGGUUCUCAAGCGGACAACUUGAGUUUGAAAAUACGAGCAGCCAUCAGAUGACUCACGUGCUAAUAAGCCAUUCGUAUUUCCAACACAUUAUUGGAAUUGAACAAUAGGGGCCGGGACACCCACGAAACCCUAAAACAGUUUAAAUAAUGCAGGAAUCUGCCAUGAGAUGCGAUAGUUAAACUUUAAAGAAUCGAAAGACAUAAACAGUUAAUCAAAAGACAAAAUCAAAUAUUUGGUUAGAACCUAGUUAAAAAUUACCAGCAGAGUCACCAUUUCUGUUUUGCGGAAAUUUGACUUUUUUAGAGAGUCGCCACUUAAUUUUGAAAAGGAAUUAAGAAACCUUUGUAAUGUACUUAGAAGAUUCAAAAUAGAAAAAUCAUUUAAGUUAGAGAUUCUGAGUAAGCGGUUCCUAUUAACGUUUUAGGAAGGUGUUAGGCACCUAAAACGUCCGCUAACUUACAGUUAUCCGAACUGUUUAAAAAUCGUCUUUGACUAACUUUGAAAAAGAAAAAGUUGAUUUUUUGAAAAGAAAGCAAUUUUAGAAGUAUUUUGAUGUUUAUGCAAAACUAGUUUUUUAGCGACUUAACUAAGGAUUUAACUAGGUUCGCAAAGCACAUAAGGAAAACAAACAUAAAGAAAAGGGGGAAGGGGAGGAAGUACGGGAUUUAGGCUAUUGGCCCAAACCAACAAAACCUAUCCUAGUCUAAUUAGGCCUUCGACCCAUUUCGUCUGUCCUAAUCUAAUUUUUGAGCCUUUGGAUUAAACCUUGCUCCACCUGUAUUAAAUACAACUUUGGCUUCGUGGCCCGAAUGAAUAAAAUAAAGAAAUAACAUAACAAAGAAAUGAAUACAUAAAGACAGCGAUAGAUAACUAAGCAAAUAAAGGAGACUUUAAGUCUCUUACCCACUUCGAAUUCAGGAAUUUAAUCCGUGCUUCUUCCUUGAACUCCUUGCAUCUGUACGCCAUGCAAUUCAUUUCAGACUCUUUGGGGCUAACUCGAAGGAUAGGCAUCAUUGGCCCAUGAUAGAUAUGUGAAGGGAAGAGUCCAUUUGGACUCCCAAAUGGGUUCAUGCAAAGGAAAG